GAGGACCUACGGGACGCAGCAGUGAGGAAUAUUGGUCAAUGGGCGGGAGCCUGAACCAGCCAAGUCGCGUGAGGGAAGACGGUCCUAUGGAUUGUAAACCUCUUUUGUCGGGGAGCAAAGAGGCCACGUGUGGUCAAAAGCGAGAGUACCCGAAGAAAAAGCAUCGGCUAACUCCGUGCCAGCAGCCGCGGUAAUACGGAGGAUGCGAGCGUUAUCCGGAGUUAUUGGGUUUAAAGGGGGCGUAGGCGGGACGGUAAGUCAGCGGUAAAAAUGCGGAGCUCAACUCCGUCGAGCCG
rnacentral:rRNA from 1 species